GCUUAAAUAGCUCAGUUGGGAGAGCGUUAGACUGAAGAUCUAAAAGUCCUUGAUUCUAUCCCGGGUUUUAGUU